UUCUAUAUUUUCACUUAGUCCGAUCCUUACAAACCAUACAUAAAUGGAAAGCUUAUUUAUUCAGCUUUUAGCUGCAUAAAUCUAAAUAAAAUAAAAAAGACCAUUAAUAUAGGUUUUGUGGUCCAGUAUGCAAACAAUGGACAACAAUGAGAUGUACUAUUUUUGCCAGUAUAAAAGAAGCAACGGCAAAACUAGACAUUUUUUGCCAAAAAAGAAAAAAAAAGUUGGACAGGAAAACCCAACAACAAGGCAAAAUAACUAGUGAAUGGUUAGAGCAACUGAUUAAAA